AUUGAACGCUGGCGGCAGGCUUAACACAUGCAAGUCGAGCGGAGAUGAGGUGCUUGCACCUUAUCUUAGCGGCGGACGGGUGAGUAAUGCUUAGGAAUCUGCCUAUUAGUGGGGGACAACAUUCCGAAAGGAAUGCUAAUACCGCAUACGCCCUACGGGGGAAAGCAGGGGAUCUUCGGACCUUGCGCUAAUAGAUGAGCCUAAGUCGGACUAGCUAGUUGGUGGGGUAAAGGCCGACCAAGGCGACGAUCUGUAGCGGGUCUGAGAGGAUGAUCCGCCACACUGGGACUGAGGCACGGCCCGGACUGCUACGGGAGGCAGCAGUGGGGAAUAUUGGACAAUGGGCGGAAGCCUGAUCCAGCCAUGCCACGUGUGUGAAGAAGGCCUUUUGGUUGUAAAGCACUUUAAGCGAGGAGGAGGCUACCUGGAUUAAUACUCUAGGAUAGUGGACGUUACUCGCAGAAUAAGCACCGGCUAACUCUGUGCCAGCCGCCGCAGUAACAC
rnacentral:rRNA from 1 species